rnacentral:tRNA from 1 species
GGAGUUGUGGCUCAGUGGUACAGCGCUUGCCUAGCACGCAUGAGGCACUGGGUUUGAUUCUCAGCACCA